rnacentral:rRNA from 1 species
AUUGAACGCUGGCGGCAUGCCUUACACAUGCAAGUCGAACGGCAGCACGGGAGCAAUCCUGGUGGCGAGUGGCGAACGGGUGAGUAAAGUAUCGGAACGUGCCCAGUCGUGGGGGAUAACGUAGCGAAAGUUACGCUAAUACCGCAUACGAUCUAUGGAUGAAAGCGGGGGAUCGCAAGACCUCGCGCGAUUGGAGCGGCCGAUAUCAGAUUAGGUAGUUGGUGGGGUAAAGGCUCACCAAGCCGACGAUCUGUAGCUGGUCUGAGAGGACGACCAGGAACACUGGGACUGAGACACGGCCCAGACUCCGACGGGAGGCAGCAGUGGGGAAUUUUGGACAAUGGGCGAAAGCCUGAUCCAGCCAUGCCGCGUGCAGGAUGAAGGCCUUCGGGUUGUAAACUGCUUUUGUACGGAACGAAAAGGUUUGGCCUAAUAAGCUGAGCUCAUGACGGUACCGUAAGAAUAAGCACCGGCUAACUACGUGCCAGCCGCCGCCGUAA